CUUGAGUGUAUCCUCGUUCCAGGGAACCAGAUGGACAAGGUUGAGGAACUCUUUGACAUACUUCUUUAUUCGGGCGGUGGUCUGGGGAGAUGAUGCUGAAGAAUAUCCCAAUGACUACAGCAACAAUCAUCAGAGAUCCAGCAGAGAUCAACACUAUCAGAGACACUGACACUGGAGGACCUGAAGGAGACUGUGACUGAGUCUGUGGGAGCAGUGCUGUAACGGCUAAAGAGAGACAGACAUUAAUCUCUUCUGGAUCUGAUGUCAUAAACCAGAAGAAUGACGGUAGCCACGCCCACUAGAGCAGAGAGGGCCAAUCGGAUCAGAGCUUCAGUAGAACCACAACAGUGGACAGAGUCUGAGGAAUAAAAACAUCAAACUGAGAUCAGAUGCAGAAGAUCACGACUACAGCAACAAUCAUCAGAGAUCCAGCCGAGAUCAACACUAUCAGAGACACUGGAGCACCUGAAGGAGA